CCAGCAGCCGCGGUAAUACGAAGGGACCUAGCGUAGUUCGGAUUUACUGGGCUAAAAGAGCUCGUAGGUGUUUAGAAAAGUUGGUGGUGAAAUCCCAAGGCUUAACCUUGGAACUGCCACCAAAACUUUUUGACUAGAGUAUGAUAGAGGUAAGUGGAAUUUCUAGUGUAGAGGUGAAAUUCGUAGAUAUUAGAAAGAACACCAAUUGCGAAGGCAACUUUCUGGAUCAUUACUGACACUGAGGAGCGAAAGCAUGGGUAGCGAAGAGGAUUAGAUACCCUCGUAGUCCAUGCUGUAAACGAUGUGUGCUAGACGUUGGAAAUUUAUUUUUCAGUGUCGCAGCAAAAGCAUUAAGCACACCGCCUGGGGAGUACGACCGCAAGGUUAAAACUCAAAUGAAUUGACGGGGACCCGCACAAGCAGUGGAGCAUGUGGUUUAAUUCGAAGAUACGCGCAGAACCUUACCAACACUUGACAUGUUCGUCGCGAACUCAAGAGAUUGAGUUUUCAUUUAGUUGGACGAAACACAGGUGCUGCAUGGCUGUCGUCAGCUCGUGUCGUGAGAUGUUGGGUUAAGUCCCGCAACGAGCGCAACCCUUACUUUUAGUUGCCACCAUUUAGUUGAGCACUCUAAAAGAACUGCCAGUGAUAAGCUGGAGGAAGGCGGGGAUGACGUCAAGUCCUCAUGGCCCUUACGUGUUGGGCUACACACGUGCUACAAUGGCAUUCACAAUGAGAUGCAAAGAGGCGACUCCAAGCCAAUCUCAAAAAGAUGCCUCAGUUCGGAUUGUACUCUGCAACUCGAGUACAUGAAGCUGGAAUUGCUAGUAAUCGCGGAUCAGCGCGCCGCGGUGAAUACGUUCCCGGGUCUUGUACACACCGCCCGUCACACCAUGGAAGUUGGUUACACCUAAAGGCAAAAGUUAAAACU
rnacentral:rRNA from 1 species